UGUGGUGAACUUGAAACUGGAAGUGGAUUAAAUCAAGAGAUGGGGUUGGCUAGGCCCGGUGACACUCGGUGGAGCUCUCAUUACAAAGCUGUAUGCAACAUCAUUGCUAUGUAUCCUAUAAUCCGUGAAGUUCUUUUCACUCUUGGAGAGGAUACUACUGUUAGAGCUGAUUGGACAAAGAUACAUACCAUGCUUGGUGCAUUUGAGUCAUUUGACUUUGUUUUUUGUUUACACUUAAUGUUUACUAUUCUUGGAUACACAAAUGAUUUGUCAGAGUGUUUGCAAAGAAGGGAGCAAGAUAUUCUUAAUGCAAUCACACUUGUUAAAGCGGCAAAGAAAAGAAUGGAACACUUAAGGAAUCAUGGUUGGGAUCAAUUUCUUGAUAGGGUCAUUUUAUUUUGCAACAAGCAUGGUGUCCAAGUUCCUGCUAUGGAGGGUAAUUAUGUGCCUUUUGGAAGAUCUGUUCAGUUUGUUCAUGACCAAAAUAAUGAUGACCACUUUAGAAGAGCAAUAUAUAUUGGGGUCAUUGAUCAAAUUAGCAUGGAGCUUGCUAGUCGGUUUGAUGAAGUUAAUAUGGAGUUGCUUUCUUGUAUGGCAGCCUUUGAUCCUUCCAACUCAUUUGCUUCAUUUGAUGCACAGAAGAGAAGAUGAUGACUUCAAAGACCUACACAAUCUUGUUGAUCUCUCAGUUAAGCUUGUUGAAAAAAAAGACAUAAGGUGUAUGAUGUUGUGUACUUGCUUCUCAAAUUGGUAUUGCUUUUACCGGUGGCAACAGCAAGUGUUGAAAGGGCAUUCUCUGCAUUGACUUUUGUGAAAU